GACGAACGCUGGCGGCGUGCCUAAUACAUGCAAGUCGAGCGCAGGAAAUCGACGGAACCCUUCGGGGGGAAGUCGACGGAAUGAGCGGCGGACGGGUGAGUAACACGUAAAGAACCUGCCCUCAGGUCUGGGAUAACCACGAGAAAUCGGGGCUAAUACCGGAUGGGUCAUCGGACCGCAUGGUCCGCGGAUGAAAGGCGCUCCGGCGCGGCCUGGGGAUGGCUUUGCGGUGCAUUAGCUAGUUGGUGGGGUAAUGGCCCACCAAGGCGACGAUGCAUAGCCGACCUGAGAGGGUGAUCGGCCACACUGGGACUGAGACACGGCCCAGACUCCUACGGGAGGCAGCAGUAGGGAAUCUUCCACAAUGGACGAAAGUCUGAUGGAGCAACGCCGCGUGAACGAUGAAGGCCUUCGGGUCGUAAAGUUCUGUUGUAAGGGAAGAACAAGUGCCGCAGGCAAUGGCGGCACCUUGACGGUACCUUGCGAGAAAGCCACGGCUAACUACGUGCCAGCCGCCGCUGUAAAAC
rnacentral:rRNA from 1 species